AUGUUUCUUAAGGACCGGGGUGUGCGUCUAUGUAUGUCCGAGGGGGAGGGAGACAGGUUAACGGGAGCGACCGAGUCAUUUCAAAAAAUGGUCUUUUCCUCAGAUCUUUUUUAUGACUAAUUAGUCGCCAUAAUUCAAGACAACCUAGUAGUAUUUCGUGUUUUGAGGAAAAGGGAGGGGACGGUAUAUGAGAGGUUUGAUUAAUUAUGUUUAGCUAUAUUAAAUAUCCAAGAUUCCGCUGAGAUUGUGGGUCAUGGUUGCAUAUGUUGCUGCGUGUACACAUGAAUACAUCUUUAAGUUAGUAUGUUGGCAGUCAUGGCGUUAAAAAUCCUCAUAUUAUCGAUAUAGAGGGCGGGGCCUUGUAUUUCUAGGGUAUGUUAGAGCUGGGUGGACCUUUGUUUUAAAUUGCUGUCAGAAAUUUAACAGUGCCUGAGUGGGCGUGUGUGUUUUAUAUAUGUAUAUGUUGUAUGCUACAUGUAUGUGCCUGCAUGCGUGCACACGCGCAUGUGUUGGAAAUUUCACAAAACAUAUGACUCAUGAUCUACGGCCAGUUCCGCGACUAAUUAUUCGCUCAACAAUGGUUUUUAACAAAUCGCCAACUUUUCGUAGUAACAGCAUUCUUCUCACAUAGCCACCACAUGUCCUGGCUGACGUAGGCUAUUUGGAAAGGAGGUCGACAAGUUCUCCUUUAAUGAUUUUCUGCGGCCUUUCAAGACACUCCCCACGAGCAAAGACGUUCCUAUCAGUCAACUGUCAACAUGGGGCGCUUCUUCUCUUGUUAGCUCCCAGUGUAAAAAUACAACAACAUACUUUUGAAACAGAUACCUCAUUAGCAAAGUUGUUGACAUUUUCUGGCAGAUAGUCCUUGCGCGCCUUUGGUGUACAUUUUCGUUCUGUGCCGUAGUUUUGUGUGAAAUGCCAGUGUCAUUUAAAAGUAAUGCAUGGGUCAUAGUUAGUAUAUCUUACUGUCCUUGUGUAGAGAGUUACGACAUUUUAAAUAAUUUUAAUUUUUAUAAUAUCCGCAUCCAAUCGACCGAAUUUGAUUGUAAACAUUAAGCCUCUUUCAAAUAGGGAAACUGUAUUUUAAGCUUUUUAACUUUUCAUUGAUCAUAUUAGUCUCUGAUGUCCUGUGAAUGUCUGCUGUAAAGGCCACUUAUUUGGUCUUAUGAUAUGAAACUUAUGAAACUGGUGUAGACAGAUGCAUAGAAGGAAGUUGGGCCUUACAACAAAUAUUCAAAAGUAGCCUAUAUAAACACACAUAGGCUAAUCACAAGAAGUAGGCUAAUCCCUUUGCUCCUAUAAUUAUUAUUAUUAUAAUUUUUUUUUUUUAACAUAUCCGACACAUAAGCUGGGCUUUGCACCUCCAACCACUAGCUUUUGUGUCUUUGUUACUAUAAGGCCUUUUCAGUUGAUUUCGUGCUUAGGUUUAAUAUUUCACAUAGAUGGGCUCUGUCCCUCGCUUUAUUUCUCUUUCACUAUUCACACACAGACACAUUCACACACCAGAUGAAAAUUCUAUUUCCAUGUCUUACAUUCAGGAGCCUGUGUAGAGACCCUGCACAGUGACCGAGUACAAUGCUCUUCCUUGUUUUAACUCGUGUAAAAGCGUUUCGUUCUGCGAGGACACAAUUUAUGCACUUAUUUUAUACCUCUAAAAGAACUAAACCGCAGUAUCAUGUUUAUGGAUUUCAAUACUAAACUUGUAUUUCAUUCUCUCGAUUUCUUUCAUUUCUUUUGUUUUCCCCUCAAAUUCUUUAUGCUUUUGGACAGUUAGUGCUAGACUUGUAUCAACAAGAAGUGACACGGCAUUGCCGACAAGACGGAAGUAAGAUACAAACGACUGAAUAGUGCAAUAAAAAAGUUCAAAAAGCACACGAACUCAAAGCAGUCCCCAUUUGUCGACAGUCUGCUGGAAACGGAAACGCAGGGACAGCAGAAAGUCACUGACCGUGCAUGGACAUGGUUGUGAAAGUCUUGUUAGAUUUAUUUUCUUUAAACGUGCAGCUUAAAGAUGGAUACUUUACAUAGAUGGCUUCUUUAUCUAGACGGAUAGACGAACACUUCAUCGCUUAUGUGUAAGGGGACUAGAUCAUGUUGUUGACUUUGGUCAUGUUUAGAAGGAAGUCUGAACGCCAGGGCUCCAUUAGAGUCACGGGAGUGUGCAAGCCAGUGAAUUUACAUUCAGAAGGGUGCGGACCGGAAAAGAGGCCGUCAGACAUAUUCCCGCUAUCAGACAUUAGAGUUGGAGAAAGAGUUUCACUUCAACCGUUACCUUUCACGAAGGCGUCGUAUCGAGAUUGCACACGCCCUGUGUUUGACCGAACGCC